CCUACGGGUGGCAGCAGUGGGGAAUAUUGCGCAAUGGGCGCAAGCCUGAUGGAGCAACACCGCGUGAGUGAAGAAGGGUUUCGGCUCGUAAAGCUCUGUUGUUGGAGAAGAACGUGCGUGAGAGUAACUGUUCACGCAGUGACGGUAUCCAACCAGAAAGUCACGGCUAACUAAGUGCCAGCAGCCGCGGUAAUACGUAGGUGGCAAGCGUUAUCCGGAUUUAGUGGGCGUAAAGCGAGCGCAGGCGGUCGCUUAGGUAUGACGUGAAAGCCUUCGGCUUAACCGGAGAAGUGCAUGGGAAACCGGGCGAUUUGAGUGCAGAAGAGGACAGUGGAACUCCAUGUGUAGCGGUGGAAUGCGGAGAUAUAUGGAAGAACACCAGUGGCGAAGGCGGCUGUCUGGUCUGCAACUGACGCUGAGGCUCGAAAGCAUGGGUAGCGAACAGGAUUAGAUACCCGUGUAGUC
rnacentral:rRNA from 1 species